UACAGAGGUGGCAAGCGUUGUUCGGAAUUACUGGGCGUAAAGGGCGCGUAGGCGGUUCGUUAAGUCCUGUGUGAAAUCCCCCGGCUCAACUGGGGAACUGCACAGGAAACUAGCGGGCUUGAGUUCGGGAGAGGGAAGCGGAAUUCCGGGUGUAGCGGUGAAAUGCGUAGAUAUCCGGAGGAACACCGGUGGCGAAGGCGGCUUCCUGGCCUGUUCUUGACGCUGAGGCGCGAAAGCUAGGGGAGCAAACGGG
rnacentral:rRNA from 1 species